rnacentral:rRNA from 1 species
UACGAAGGGUGCAAACGUUGCUCGGAAUUAUUGGGCGUAAAGCGCACGUAGGCGGCUUUGCAAGUCGGAUGUGAAAUCCCUCGGCUUAACCAAGGAAGUGCAUCCGAAACUGCAGAGCUUGAGUACUUAAGAGGAUCGCGGAAUUCCCGGUGUAGAGGUGAAAUUCGUAGAUAUCGGGAGGAACACCAGUGGCGAAGGCGGCGAUCUGGGAAGAUACUGACACUGAGGCGCGAAAGCGUGGGGAGCGAACAGG